rnacentral:misc_RNA from 1 species
AAGUCGUAACAAGGUUUCCGUAGGUGAACCUGCGGAAGGAUCAUUAAAAGUAAAAUAUGUAUUCUCACGAAUAUACAUUUUUGUAAACCCCAUCUGUGUACCUUACCUGUUGCUUCCGCUGGGCAGUGAUCUCGGUCACCUCCGCAAGGGCGGCUUCAGCCGUCGGCGCGGGGAGUCCUCGCGAAUGGAUCUACAUCAAACUCUUGCAUUCCUAUGUCAUCUGUCUGAACCUGUUUAUAACAAAUGUUAAAACUUUCAACAACGGAUCUCUUGGUUCUC